AAUAGAUGACACUGUUAACUUUUUCUCACAUGUUUGACCAUUCGUCUUAUUCAAAAAAUUUACGUAAUUAUAAUUUAUUUUGUUAUGAGUUGUUUUAUCACUCAUAGUACUUUAAGUGUGAUUUAUAUCUUAUACAUUUGUAUAAAAUUUUUGAAUAAGACGAAUGGUCAAACAUGUGAGAAAAAAUUAACGGCGUCAUCUAUU
rfam:Oryza sativa Japonica Group DNA, chromosome 5, cultivar: Nipponbare, complete sequence.